rnacentral:ncRNA from 1 species
UUUCACUAGUCGGGGUGCUGCGCUUGCUGCCAAAAGCGAAUGCGGCUGAGAUUAAACCCGUGAACCUGAUCCAGAUAAUGCUGACGUAGGAAACUAUCAAGAUGACUUC